UGGGGAAUAUUGGACAAUGGGGGCAACCCUGAUCCAGCAAUGCCGCGUGUGUGAAGAAGGUCUUCGGAUUGUAAAGCACUUUCGACGGGGACGAUGAUGACGGUACCCGUAGAAGAAGCCCCGGCUAACUUCGUGCCAGCAGCCGCGGUAAUACGAAGGGGGCUAGCGUUGCUCGGAAUGACUGGGCGUAAAGGGCGUGUAGGCGGUUUACACAGUCAGAUGUGAAAUCCCCGGGCUUAACCUGGGAGCUGCAUUUGAUACGUGUAGACUAGAGUGUGAGAGAGGGUUGUGGAAUUCCCAGUGUAGAGGUGAAAUUCGUAGAUAUUGGGAAGAACACCGGUGGCGAAGGCGGCAACCUGGCUCAUGACUGACGCUGAGGCGCGAAAGCGUGGGGAGCAAACAGGAUUAGAUACCCUGGUAGUCCACGCUGUAAACGAUGUGUGCUAGAUGUUGGGUAACUUUGGUUAUUCCAGUGUCGCAGUUAACGCGUUAAGCACACCGCCUGGGGAGUACGGCCGCAAGGUUGAAAC
rnacentral:rRNA from 1 species